rnacentral:rRNA from 1 species
CCUACGGGUGGCAGCAGUGGGGAAUAUUGCGCAAUGGGCGAAAGCCUGACGCAGCGACGCCGCGUGAGGGAUGAAGGUCUUCGGAUCGUAAACCUCUGUCAGUAGGGAAGAACGGUCACUGUGCUAAUCAGCAGUGAAUUGACGGUACCUGCAAAGGAAGCACCGGCUAACUCCGUGCCAGCAGCCGCGGUAAUACGGAGGGUGCGAGCGUUAAUCGGAAUUACUGGGCGGAAAGCGCUCGUAGGCGGUAUGUCAAGUCAAGGGUGAAAUCCCCGCGCUCAACGUGGGAACUGCCUUUGAAACUGGCAAACUGGAGUGUGUGAGAGGAUAGUGGAAUGCCAGGUGUAGGAGUGAAAUGCGUAGAUAUCAGGAGGAACAUCAGUGGCGAAGGCGACUAUCUGGCACAUAACUGACGCUGAGGAGCGAAAGCGUGGGUAGCAAACAGGAUUAGAUACCCUUGUAGUC